CUAACUUUUACAAUGACAUGAGUCUUUCUGGUCCUAUGAUGCCAACUUUCCAUCUUGCUAGGGCUGAAGGAGCUUGGGUUGAGGUGAAAUUGGGGUACUAACCUUGUUCUUAGAAGUGUGUGGCAGGGGCCUUGCCAUUGCUGCACACAAGGGUUAAUUCAGUGUUCAUUUGAACACACCAGAAGAGUUUAGGUUAGAAUUUCAAAGGGAUAUACACAUCCUUGUUACCUUCCAAUCUUAAUUCUCUUCCCAUGACAUAAAACAUCGCUUUUUUUUUAAGGAUCAUACAUGUAUUCCAAAUUACCAGAACUUAAUGCAGAACAACAAACAGUCCAUAUAUACCACAAGGAAUAGGGUUAAAAAUCUAUAUUCUCCGGUGACAAAUCCCAAGCCGGAGCAGAUUCCAGCCAGGCAGCUAGCAGAGCUGGCCGGGUGAACGGCAUAGGCCAUGGUGGGUGCAGAGCUCAGAGCCGGAAAGCAAACAGCUGCUGUAGCCUGAUUUGAGUUAAAAUAGUGUGAGUGUUUAGUCUGGCGCAGGCUUCAGGGGAGAUUGGCAGCUGGGUCAAACAAAGUCCCUCCAUUGGCUCCCUUCCCAGGCAGCUUCUGCUAGUAUUUAGGUACUAGUGCAGCGGAGGGCCCUUUUCUCAGGCAAAACCUAACAUCUGACCGCACCCUCUUUGCUUGCUUUUUUUUUUUUUUUUUUUUUUUCCAAAAAAAGAAAGAAACCUUUUUUUUUUUUCCUUCUUCUUCUUUCGUUACGGUGUUCUCCAAUAGACAACCUCUCCCACUAAUUGUGCAUUAGCAAUGUAUUUUAUCUGGAGCACCGGGCUCUCAACGUGGUGUGGAAAGCUGCCUGUUACAGUGUUGGCUUCAUAAAAGGGCCUUUAUGGCUCGUGAAAGAAUAUCUGUGUGCUUAGGCAGGAAACUUUUUGAUCUGCAGAAAAGCCAGAAGACUUCUAGGGUAUCCUUGAAGAUUAAUCAGAAAACACCCAUGUGCCUGUAAAGGGACAAACUUAAAAUGGAUAUGAGAAGUGAAGAAAGUGAUCCUAGGAGAAAAUCAUCUCAGAUCAACCAGUGCAGAAGAACCAGAUUCCACUUCUGUGGCCAGGACUUUUAUGUUGUGGCUGGUCCGAUUGUUUUACCCUGCGUUCUGUGCUCCUAAACCUUGGAUCAUUCCUUAAAGUACCAAUUCUGUUCUCCAACCACAAACAAGGCUAAACGAUCGGAGGAAAUUCAGUGAAUGUAGAGGAUCGGGAUUGUGCAGUUUUUUUUUUCUCCAAAGUAUUGAGCUUUCGAAUGCAACUAUUUAAGCUAGAGAAUCAUUUUUUUGUUGUUGUUGUUGUUCUUGUGUGGCCAGCAUGUUAAGUUUCACGUUUAUUAAGUGGCAUUACUCAAAUAGCUGCAGAGUGUGCAUGGGAAUAUGUGGCUGUCUGAAUAGUUUGGAGAUUCAAAGAGAACACUCGAGCUUCAGAGGUAUUAAAUGAUGACGUGCAAAAAAAAAGUUUUUGUUUUAUUCUGAACUGCAACAGUAUAUAUAUUUAAAUCAGAUUGAAAGUAUUAUAUGUCCUGGAGCCAACUUAACAGUUGUGCUAUAUAGAAGGCUAAUGGGGAAACCAAAUUUCAAUCAGGGUCCCGUUACUGGGAUAUAAUCCUUUUUGCAUGUAAUAGAACUACGGUGUUGCUGUAUAAAUCUGCUAGACACAGAUUUUAACCCAUGUGUAGCCUUAUUUUUUUUUUUUUGCAUCUAUUGGGAUGACUCUUUAACUGUUCAUUGUUUCAUAUUGUGUCUCGUAUUCUUUGUGAUUUUUAAGGUCUGUAAAUGCUCAUUAUGAAUAUUCAGCUCAUCCUACCUUGUAUGUGUCAUAUAUAUAUCUAUUGCUACAUAUGUAUGUGCAUUAGUAUGUAGAGGGAAAAGUUUGCCUCGACCCAACUGUAAUGUCUAAGCUAGCCUUCCCACCAAAGAAGAAGAAUUCUACCGCAGCCAAACCAGACUUUUCCUAGUCCCUGAGACCCUAACUUGUGAGGUAUUUCAGUAACAUCACAAGUCAGGCUCUUGGGACCUAGGCGGAGAGGAACCAGCAGCUUUGGACCUUAUUGAUUGUCUGCAGUUACCAGCAGAACAAAAGGACAUACAUGGAUUCUGCCCAGAGGAAAGAACAAUGCUCUGGUUUAUAACCAGCAAUGUUUCCACCGGGACCCACCCCCAAAAAUACUAUUUUCAGAAACUGUUCUCUAAAGUAAUUACCGAGCUUCCCUGAAUCGCAUUUGUUUUCUGUUGUAACAACCAUUCAAAAGCAAUAGAAGAGAUCUGUGUAAGAAGCAAAAUUAAAAUACAUGUGUUUCUAAAAAUGCUUCGCUUGGCAUAUUGUAAGGUGACUGGUGUAAGAGAAUAUCUUCUUGGUUAAUAAUGAAGAGCGUGAUUUGUGUUUUUAUAACUUUUUUUCAUAUGCAUAGAAUAUAUAUAUAUAUAAACUAUUUAUAGAAAUCCUAUAUAUCCCCAUGAAAAUAUGGCUCAGAAUAUACACCAUAUAGCUAUAAUCAAGCUUGAGGCCUAGAAAUGAAAUGAUUUACAAUCUUCUUUACUAACCCUAUUAGAUUUUUACUGCUGAUUUUAGAAGAAUGCUGCUUUCUAUGUGGUAUUUAUUGCCAGUUUUCUUCUUAAUGUUUUUAAUCAG